ACCAUAGCUCAGUGGUAGAGCAUCUGUUUUGCAUGCCUAAGGUCCCAGGAUCAAUCUCUGGCAUCGGCA